UUGAGCGAGUUUGAGAGAGAGAGGGUUGGACGCGUUUGAGAGACGAUUGGGUAAGGUUGAGGGAUAGCGAUUCUGAGAGCAGAGAGAGGUUUCGCCUGAGAGAGUUUUGAGUUUGAUGGAGAAUUCGUGAGAUUGUGAGAGACGGAGACGGAAGUGUCUUCUGUUUUGGUUUCCUUUUUUUUUUCUUUAAUUUAUUUUUAUACAGAAUAAGUUUUAAAAAAACAUUAAAGGUUUUGCUUAGAAUUCCUAGGUUUAGUUAAUAAUUGUGUUUAUGUUUUCAACUUAUUCCCCAUUGAAAAACCCAACAGCCAGACGGUUGGGUUUAACCACUGGUAGUCCAACAGUCUUUUUUUUAUUUUAGUUUUUAUUCUAAUGUUUAUUCUAUCUUAGUUUAUAUAUUUAAAUUAGCAUCAUAAAUAAUAACUAACCAUGAGUGGUCUGGUGGAGAAGGGUAGUAUCAUAAUCUUGAGUGGGGUGGGUUCAAUACUCAUGUAUAGCAUUUUUUUUGGCAUUUUAUUUCUUUUAGCUAUUUUAUUUUCUUUUAGCAUUUUCAUUUCUUUUUAUGUUUAUGCCUUUAUUAUACUCAUAGUUUCAUUUGUUAAUAAUGCAAAUUUGUUUUCUCUUAAUUUCACCAUUCAUUCAAAACCAUUUUUAAACUUAUAAAAAUCAUAUUUUUCUCGAUUUAAUAUCGAGCCCAUUUUCACACCCUUGUAAGUCGAUUGCUUUUUAAGCAUCGCCAUCAACCUCACAUAGCUUACUCUUGGGCUUUCUUACAAUGAGCCGGUUCCUUUGCACUUACACUCAUACAUUGCAUUAUUUAUUGUUUGGACCCGAUUUAAUUAUUCCAAUACUUUGAAUCCCCAUUCAUAACAAAUGUAUCCCUCUCCCAUGAAAUGUAUAAUAUUUAUUCUUUCAUUCUUUAUUCAUCUGUUAAUACAAGAAUUAAAAUGAACAUUCGAUAACCAUUUCAAAACAAGAUCAAAACCUCGAUCCAACGUCGAGUAAUCAUUUUUCAAAACCUAACAGAACCAG
rnacentral:lncRNA from 1 species